UGGUGGUUGGAAUUCCUGCAGUGGAAUGAGGAAGCUAAAGUCCAUUAUUUCCAGCCAGGUGCCACCUCAUUUUACACAUACUUCAAGCUACUUGUGGAGGAGCCACCAAAUUCAAAGGAAGAGUUAAACCUGCUGGGGACAGUUCCCGAACCCUACCCAGGACCCUUGAGGAAGAAGAAGACAGCAACAGAUGGGAGGAGGAGAAGGAGCCCUCCCUGCCCUGUGCCCAGGGGCCUGUGCUCCCCUGCCUGUUGAAGUCUCUGCAGCUGGCAGCCCCUGUGGGCUCAACUCUGUGAACACAGAAGCCUGCACCAGGCACGGAGAGGAGGGAGCAGCCUCCGUCCCCAGGGGAACGCAGAACCUGCCUAGAAAGGCAAGAAGGUCCAAAAGAAUUACUCAAGAAGGAAAAGUCCGGUCCAUUUUCCCUCUAACAUGUCCCUAGAAUCCUUCCCCUAUUCUCUCUGCCCCUUGGCCGCAGUCCUGGUUCGGAGAAGGCUUUCUAAACACACCCCUGCUUAAAAUUCUUAAAUGGCUCCCCUUUGCCCACGGCUGGAUCAAGUCCAAAGUCUCCAGUAGGACCAUUCACGGCCUUUCAGAUUCUGGCCUGAGGCUCCCUGUCCGGUUCACCUCCAGCCUCCCCCUCUGCUCCAGCCGCACAGAAGUUUCUGGUCCCCCUCUGGCACCCCCUGCCUUCACACGUGCUCACCUCUGCCUGAAGUGCCCUUCCCGCCCUCCUCCAACCUUGGAGCCGGCCAAACCCAGCUGAAACGACUCCUUCCCUCCUUCCCGGUGAAGUCUUCCAGAAUCCCUCCCCACCAGGGGAUGAAUUAAUGGCCUGGAGCUCUGAGCUCCCUGAGCACUUUGUACGUCCCUCUUAAGCACUUAUCACCCAUGUUGUGAUUACUGUCUCUGUAGCUGCCUCCCUCUCUCGCUCUCCUGCCUCGGAGCCAUCUCACGGUCUCGAGCGCCCAGCACAGCAUCUGGCACAAGGACCAUGGAGAGCAUCCUGUAAGGGAGAAGCCCUCUCCCAAUUGCAAACCAGAACCUUGGCUUGUCUGCAAAGGGUAAGGGAUCAGGAGACCGCAGCUCAUCUUCCCACCCAGUACCUCAGUGCCUGGCCGUGCCAUGCCUGCUGUUCCCUGUGGUUUCUGUGGCGCGUGGGCAGCUGUGGGCAAGGCAAAGGGCCUGGACACCAGUGACUGAGUCUAGAAUGGGCGUUGCUCCUGCCUCUCCGCUGAACUCAAGAGUCCAGAGGCCUUUGUUUCCCCUUGCCCCCUGCCACUUUGCUGCCUUGGGCCAUGGUCACCUCACCAUCACCAUGCACCGGCCUGGGAGGGUUAUUGUGAACCCCACUUGGCAGAUGAAUAAACCGAGCUGCAGAGAAGUAACAUCACGUAUGGAAGGCACACCUCUUCAACAGAGCCAGGAUUUGAACCGAGUUUGCACGAUGGUCUGUGUACAAUUCCUCCUUUAGGCAAUGCGGUCAUUCUGGCUCUGCAUGCCAGCCAGCUGUGCAGCCCUGGACA